rnacentral:rRNA from 1 species
GAGUUUGAUCGUGGCUCAGAUUGAACGCUGGCGGCAUGCCUUACACAUGCAAGUCGAACGGCAGCACGGGAGCUUGCUCCUGGUGGCGAGUGGCGAACGGGUGAGUAAUGCAUCGGAACGUAUCCCGGAGUGGGGGAUAACGUAGCGAAAGUUACGCUAAUACCGCAUAUUCUGUGAGCAGGAAAGCGGGGGACCUUCGGGCCUCGCGCUCUUGGAGCGGCCGAUGUCGGAUUAGCUAGUUGGUGAGGUAAAGGCUCACCAAGGCGACGAUCCGUAGCAGGUCUGAGAGGAUGAUCUGCCACACUGGAACUGAGACACGGUCCAGACUCCUACGGGAGGCAGCAGUGGGGAAUUUUGGACAAUGGGGGCAACCCUGAUCCAGCCAUGCCGCGUGAGUGAAGAAGGCCUUCGG